AACGUGCCCAGAUCUACGGAAUAGCCACUGGAAACGGUGAGUAAUACCGUAUACGCCCUUCGGGGGAAAGAUUUAUCGGAUUUGGAUCGGCCCGCGUUAGAUUAGGUAGUUGGUGGGGUAACGGCCUACCAAGCCUACGAUCUAUAGCUGGUUUUAGGGGAUGAUCAGCAACACUGGGACUGAGACACGGCCCAGACUCCUACGGGAGGCAGCAGUGGGGAAUCUUGGACAGUGGGGGCAACCCUGAUCCAGCCAUGCCGCGUGAGUGAAGAAGGCCCUAGGGUCGUAAAACUCUUUCGCCUGUGAUGAUAAUGACAGUAGCAGGUAAAGAAACCCCGGCUAACUCCGUGCCAGCAGCCGCGGUAAUACGGAGGGGGUUAGCGUUGUUCGGAAUUACUGGGCGUAAAGCGCACGUANGCGGAUUAGAAAGUUAGAGGUGAAAUCCCGGGGCUCAACCCCGGAACUGCCUUUAAAACUACUAGUCUAGAGUUCGAGAGAGGUGAGUGGAAUUCCGAGUGUAGAGGUGAAAUUCGUAGAUAUUCGGAGGAACACCAGUGGCGAAGGCGGCUCACUGGCUCGAUACUGACGCUGAGGUGCGAAAGUGUGGGGAGCAAACAGGAUUAGAUACCCUGGUAG
rnacentral:rRNA from 1 species